rnacentral:rRNA from 1 species
GACGAACGCUGGCGGCGUGCUUAACACAUGCAAGUCGAACGGGAUCCCAAGGCUUUUUGUUUUUGGUGAGAGUGGCGAACGGGUGAGUAACACGUGAGUAACCUGCCCCCUUCUUUUGGAUAACCGCAUGAAAGUGUGGCUAAUACAGGAUAUUCCAGGCUGGUCGCAUGAUUGGUUUGGGAAAUGGUUUGGUCUGGUGGGGGAUGGGCUCGCGGCCUAUCAGCUUGUUGGUGGGGUGAUGGCCUACCAAGGCGGUGACGGGUAGCCGGCCUGAGAGGGUGGGCGGUCACACUGGGACUGAGAUACGGCCCAGACUCCUACGGGAGGCAGCAGUGGGGGAUUUUGCACAAUGGGCGCAAGCCUGAUGCAGCGACGCCGCGUGAGGGAUGAAGGCCUUCGGGUUGUAAACCUCUUUCGCUGGGUUGAAAGGCCAUGCUUGGGGUGCGGUUGAUUUGAACUGGUAAAGAAGUACCGGCUAACUACGUG